UGGAUCUGGGAUNUCACACUGCUUAUGGA
rnacentral:piRNA from 1 species